rnacentral:rRNA from 1 species
UACGGAGGGAGCUAGCGUUAUUCGGAAUUACUGGGCGUAAAGCGCACGUAGGCGGCUUUGUAAGUUAGAGGUGAAAGCCCGGGGCUCAACUCCGGAAUUGCCUUUAAGACUGCAUCGCUAGAAUUCGUGGAGAGGUAAGUGGAAUUCCGAGUGUAGAGGUGAAAUUCGUAGAUAUUAGGAAGAACACCAGUGGCGAAGGCGACUCACUGGACACGUAUUGACGCUGAGGUGCGAAAGCGUGGGGAGCAAACAGG